rnacentral:tRNA from 1 species
ACUAUUUUGGCAGAUGUAGUGCAUUAGAUUUAGAAUCUAAAUAAAUGAUUAUUAUCAUAGGUAGUA